CAUAGCGACUAUCGUGGCAUAUCAAUAAGCGGAGGAAAAGAAACUAACAAGGAUUCCCUUAGUAACGGCGAGUGAAGCGGGAAGAGCUCAAAUUUGAAAUCUUCAAGGUUCUACCUUGACGAAUUGUAGUUUAUAGAAGUGUUUUCUGUUAGUAGAGUGGCAAAAGUUCUUUGGAAUAGGACAUCAUAGAGGGUGAGAAUCCCGUAUUUGACCGUUACUUUCCAGCUGUGUGAUACACUUUCAAAGAGUCGGAUUGUUUGGGAAUGCAGUCCAAAAUGGGUGGUAAAUUUCAUCUAAAGCUAAAUAUUGGCGAGAGACCGAUAGCGAACAAGUACCGUGAGGGAAAGAUGAAAAGAACUUUGAAAAGAGAGUUAAACAGUACGUGAAAUUGUCAAAAGGGAAGCGUUUGACACCAGUGUUGUUUAGUUGAAAAUCAAUUCAAUAAUUUUUGAUUUUGAGUAGUAUUGACUUCAUCAGCUUGCUGCUUUCUUUUCCGAAAUUAUUGAAUGCACUUUUCAGUUAACAAGUCAACAUCAAUUUCUUUUGUUGUAAAAGGGUAAGAGGAAGGUGGCUUACGCUUCGGCGUAAGUGUUUAUAGCCUUUUACCUCUGCAAUCGGAGAGAUUGAGGACAGCAGCGUAGACUCCUUCGGGGGUUAGAUACACUUGUGCUAAGCUAUAGCCUUGUAUAGACAACUUGUUGACUAUGCUCAGUCAUGUAGCUUACUCGCUUGUGCUAUUUUACCUACGCUUAGGAUGUUGACGAGACUGUCGAUCUC
rnacentral:rRNA from 1 species